rnacentral:rRNA from 1 species
ACGCUCGACACCUACGGGAGACAGCAGUGGGGAAUAUUGCACAAUGGAAGAAACUCUGAUGCAGCGACGCCGCGUGAGCGAAGAAGUAUUUCGGUAUGUAAAGCUCUAUCAGCAGGGAAGAAAAAGGACGGUACCUGACUAAGAAGCUCCGGCUAAAUACGUGCCAGCAGCCGUGGUAAUCUGAGCGGGCUGGCAAGGC